AUGAGGCUUUAGAAAAUCCAUAAUAACUUACUUGGGAUCAUAUUUUAUAAAAGCAAGCUUAGGAGCAGCUUUUGGACGUGAACGAACGUAGAAAAAUCCAGUGCCAGCGGUGGACAAUAAUUUUACAAGCAAACUGAAAAAUAAAUGUUAAAAAUGCGCAUUAAAUUAAGCAUGUAUGUCUUACCGAGCUUUAUUCUUUUUAGCCAUUCUGGAUAUACGUACAGUGCAAGCGGUAAGUUAAAGGUUUUGUAGUUACACCAGGGUUUGUGGGCGAGCUCUUUUAACUUGAUGGAUAACUUGCAGUCAGAAAUGUAAAAUUGAAAGUUUGCAAUUCAAAGAUAUUGUUUUGAGUAAUGAGAAAGCCUUUUUGCAAUCCAAUUUUUAUUAAAUUUGGUUGUGUACAAUCGAGGCUUUUCAAUAGGUUAUUUUUUUGUUUUAGGUAGACUAUAGAACUAUUAGUAAAGAUAAAAGGCUCAUCAAUGAAUUACUUGUUUUGAAAAAAAGCAUUUAGAUUUGAAAUUCUAAUUGAGAAACAUGCAUGACGGCACUUAAGAACGAAAGACGAACAGUAA